rnacentral:rRNA from 1 species
GCGGGUCUCUGGGCCUUACCUGACGCUGAGGAGCGAAAGCAUGGGGAGCGAACAGGAUUAGAUACCCUGGUAGUCCAUGCCGUAAACGUUGGGCGCUAGGUGUGGGGACUUUCCACGGUUUCCGCGCCGUAGCUAACGCAUUAAGCGCCCCGCCUGGGGAGUACGGCCGCAAGGCUAAAACUCAAAGGAAUUGACGGGGGCCCGCACAAGCGGCGGAGCAUGUUGCUUAAUUCGACGCCACGCGAAGAACCUUACCAAGGUUUGACAUCACCCGUGGACUCGCAAAGAUGUGAGGUCAUUUAGUUGGCGGGUGACAGGUGGUGCAUGGCUGUCGUCAGCUCGUGUCGUGAGAUGUUGGGUUAAGUCCCGCAACGAGCGCAACCCUUGUUCCAUGUUGCCAGCACGUAAUGGUGGGGACUCAUGGGAGACUGCCGGGGUCAACUCGGAGGAAGGUGGGGAUGACGUCAAGUCAUCAUGCCCCUUAUGUCUUGGGCUGCAAACAUGCUACAAUGGCCGGUACAAUGGGCGUGCGAUACCGUAAGGUGGAGCGAAUCCCUAAAAGCCGGUCUCAGUUCGGAUUGGGGUCUGCAACUCGACCCCAUGAAGGUGGAGUCGCUAGUAAUCGCGGAUCAGCAACGCCGCGGUGAAUACGUUCCCGGGCCUUGUACACACCGCCCGUCACGUCAUGAAAGUCGGCAACACCCGAAACUUGCGGCCUAACCCCUUGUGGGAGGGAGUGAGUGAA